rnacentral:lncRNA from 1 species
GUUUGGAGAUGUUAAAUCAAUCUUGGAUUUUUAUAUCUAUUGUAUUUUGAGCAGCAGUUUUUAGUACAUUUUCACAUGGGAACUUUUAUACUUGAAAUAAUAUAACAACAAGGAAAAUAUCCUCUUUUAUCUGAACAUCUAGGACUUAACCCAUGUUGUUAAUUUAGUUUUUUUCCUUUCAGCAUCUGCUGUGUGCAACCAUAUACAAAUGAGGCUGCUUCAUACACAGCCCUUUAGAGAAGAUAUAUUGGGCUGGUCUUCAGGUUGGCCCUGUGAAUGAAUAUGGUGGUAGUAGCAUAGGGAUAAAGAGCAUGAAGCAGAGUCCAGCCAAAAUAUUUAUCUUUACUCAAGAGAGACUCCAGUCUGAUAGAAGGAAGAACUGCAUAGAUGAGGUUAAUGAGGGGAAAGCUGUGCCAUAUAGCUUUCUUAGUUGCCUUGCAAAUUAUCAGUGGACCUCACAGAGGCAAAGCAAAAGCCCAGUAUCAUUGGUUAUAAUUUCCCAGAUAGCUCUGGAAUAUAUAAAUGUAUACUUAUAGAUGUAUAUUUUUUAUAUCUGCUCAUUUUGCUUUGAGUGGCCUAAUGCCAAGUUUUCCUUGAUCUUGGUUAUGGCAGCCUUGGAAUCUCUUUACAGACCAGACUUGAAACCUAUGAUUUUUAGGCACUAAGUGUCAUCUUUUGUCAUGUUGCUUUCCUCACACACUCUGAACAGGUCAAACUUUUGACAAUUUUGUGCGCUUCGGCGCAAUGUUACUUCAAUGCCUUGAAGUUUCUCUUAAUUCCAUGAUGGACUUUGGCUUGUGUUUCUAAAUACAACUAAUAUUCUACCUUCUUGUUAAAGCCUUCCCAAAUCCAGUGGUUCCUUCCCCUGUGCUCUUACAUCACUUAUUUGUACUUCUGUUCCAGUAUGUGGCACGUACAAUUAUCACUGUAACUGUCUGUCAUCCCUCUGUCUGGAAAGCUGCUGGAGCAGGGCUUGUUUUUAUAUUCCUAACAUCUAGCAUGGACUUCGACUUACAAUAGGUGUUCAAUAAAUGUUUGAAUAACUGAAGAAAGUGAGUGAAUAAAAUAUACCACCUCAUGUUUGAAAUGUGCUCGAGUCCUUCCUACCUACCUUUUCUUUUGUGCUGCUUUUCUUUAUCUUUUUCCCUGCCACAUGUUCUUCUGUCCUACUUGGUAGAUUUUAGGGCUUAGGAAAUAUGUGUUUGAAGAUUUGAAAUAUAAUACUUUGAACUCCUUAGAGGAAAAGUCUAUGAAUAAAUAAUUAGACUCAUUUCACAUCAAAAUCUAAAGUGUGAAAAAAUGUUCGUAUCAUUUGGUGCUUUAUUCACUUGUAUGGUAAUCUAAUGGCAUAUCCAUUGUUAACUCUGCACUAUACUGAAAUAUUUUACUCUCGGGGCUUUUCAUCUGACAAAAGAAGGCUCUUUGAAAAUGAAAGAGCUCCUUUCCCUGGUAUGCUAAGCAUAGCUCCUGUCCCUGGUAUGCUAAGGGGAAAUUUAUUAGUUUUGUAAUGCAUGGGUUAAUAUUACCAUGUUUUAUAUUGAACAUUACUUUAAAAAUUACUAUUAAUAUCAUUGCUGCAUAUAUGUAUAUAAGUCCUGUCAUCUUUGGGAUAUGUAAAUCAGGAAUGUUGCUGAAGAACUACUUAGCAUUUUCUUGGGGGUGAAGUGCUUAGUUUUGGAAUUUAAUUGUAGGUUUUACAUUUAAGCUGUUCAGUAUUACUCUUAUAAAGGUUCUAUAAAUUUCUUGCUUUGUAGUUUAACAGGUUUAGUCACUACAGUUGAAAGGCAUCAUCCUCAUAAUGAAGCCAGAAAAGAAUAAAGGUUGAUCAUGCAGGGCUGGCUGGCUGUGACAUUGAACAAUAGAGCUUGACUUCUUCAUGUCUGUUAAAUUAGACUAUGGGGUGUGCUUAUCUUGCUGCAACGAUAUUGAAUUAUAACGAGAAAAUGUUAUGUUGUGCAGCUCUGCAAAGGGGGUGUGCAUCUAUUCUCACUUCAUGUGUAUGACAAAUGCUUCAAACUAUUGAAGCUGCCUAGUGGGCUUAAAGUCUAUUGAUGGCACAGGUCUGGGCAUAAUACUGAAACAAAAAUAAAUACAAUGCAAAAGCUUGAAAGUAUCAUGUAAAGUUUUAUAUAUUACAGUCUUUCUUAAAAGGACCUAUGUUAGCUCAGGAAGUGUGAUGAAAAAAUUCCAUUUUGUAGAGAUCUUUGAAGGAAAUGGGUAAUAGAGCCUCAUGGAAAAGUAAGAAGAUGCUAUGUUGCAUAGAAGCAAGUUCUGAGGGGGAGAACUGUGCUCCAAAAUAAUCAAAGAUUAUUGGAAGGGAGACAGGUGAGGUGUUGUCAGCAAAAGAGAAACAAGAGAAAUGGGUAGCAUCAAAUGUGUGUGUGUCUGUAUGUGUGUAAAUUGACAGAUGAUUCUAAUAUUUACACAGAAAUGCUAAGGAUCAAAAAAUAGUCAAGGUAAUAUUGAAGAAAAGGAAGAAAGUUGGAAGAAUUACAGAUAUCAAAGUUUAUGAUAAGGCUACAGUAAUUAAGUCAGUGUAAUAUUGGAAUAAGAGUCGAUGAAAGUCUAUUAAAGUAGUAUAGAAUCCUCAACCAGAUUUACACAUAUGUGGAAACUUGAUUUUGUAGCAUAAGUGGCACUGUGGAACAAUGGGAAUAGGUAAUAUUUUUAAUAAAACAUUCUGAUCCAUUGGAUAGCCUUUGUAGAUAAAAUAAAUCGUGAUCCUCUAACUCAUACCACAUAUAAGUAUCAAUUCCAU